rnacentral:tRNA from 1 species
UAGAAAAACAGGACUUGAACCUGUACAAAAGAGCUCAAAACCCUCCGCACUUCCACUAUGCUAUUUUCU